UAUGAUUUCGAUAAAGUGCAAGGUUUUGUGGUGCACAAGUAACGUGGGUACAUUACAAGAUGACGCUGAUGAAUUAAUUGCUCUCAUUACGCCAUUAACAAUCAAAGGGAUUGAGUCUUGUUGUAGAACUCCAAUAACUGAAGAUGCCGAGAACUAGUUUCGCGGGUUCACUCUCUUCUCCCAAGGUGGACGUCGUCAUCGACACCGGAAAUCAUCUCCUUAAUCACACCGUUGAUGGAUUUUUGAAGAUCGGAACUGUUGCUGCUGCAAAAACGGCUGUGGAGGAGACUUUCCACGUAGUCAGAAGAGGGAGUGUUUCAAAACAUAACCUUGAGGAUGCGUUAAAGAAGAUGUGUAAAGAAGGCGCAUACUGGGGAACGGUGGCUGGAGUAUAUGUUGGAAUGGAGUAUGGCAUUGAGAGGGUUCGUGGCACCAGAGACUGGAAGAACGCAAUGAUUGGUGGUGCAUUGACCGGAGCACUCAUAUCGGCAGUCAGCAGCAACAAAGGGGACAAAAUCAUAACGGAUGCCAUCACAGGAGGUGCAGUUGCAACUGCUGCUGAGUUCCUCAAUUAUCUGACCUAAACAUGCAUCGGUUUACGAAUAACACAAUCCCAUAUACCUUGAAAUCUUUUGUUUUUGCAUGUUACAUUCUGAUGAUACCUUGAAAUCUUUUGUAUCGCAUGUUACAUUCUGAUGAUACCUUUUAAUAAGCGAGGAAGGAGCGUGUUUUAUAAU